GCUGAGCAUGGUGGCGCAUGCCUGUAAUCCCAGCUACUUGGGAGGCUGAGGCAGGAGAAUCGCUUGAACCUGGGACGUGGAGGUUGCAGUGAGCCGAGGUCACACCACUGCACUCCAGCCUGGGCGACAAAGCGAGACUCUGUCUCAA
ensembl:misc_RNA Metazoa_SRP Metazoan signal recognition particle RNA